GCUAAUUGCAUUAAGCAGAGGGGCCGGUUAGCGAAUACACUCGUGGCACGGAAAAAGUGUAAACAGCAGCAUUAUCCCGAGCACCUCGCGGCGAGCCCCUGGGCCAUGGGCCGUGAGGAGUGGAUUUUGCAAGGGACGCUCCCACCUCACCGCCCGCGAAGCCGGGGGUUGCGGCGAUGUCCUCGGGCGGCCGCUCGGACACGGGGCGGCCCGGCGGCUCCCGGCGCUGCUCCGGGAGGGGCACAAGCCCCCGCUCCCGGACCCAGCCCCGCGCCGCGGCCCCAAGGCCGCCGGACAGCCGCCCCUCCUCCGGAGAGGCAGGGAGAGAGGCAGCCGGAUUUCAAUUCAACUAAGCAACAAUUUCAGCACUGUUUGAUGUGGCCCACUCUCCUGAGUCUUCCGUCUGAGAAGAGCAUUAAGAGCAUUUCCACAAGUGGCCCCAUGGAGAAGCAGCUGCAGGCCUGGGCAUUUCUAUGCAGGCUGUCAGGAAGUGUUCACCGUGUUGCCUUUGUGUCACCCUGGGUCCCUCAGCGCUGCAGGGCACAGGCCACCCUAUCACCACACCAACACUGAGUCAAACCAGGCAGGAAUGGGAUUCAGUAAUACAAGUUGUGGUUGAGAACGCUUGACCCAAAGCACAGCCCUGGGCCUCACACUGCAGUGGAUGACAAGGAUGGGAAAGACUUGGCAUCACGUUCAAAGAUCAUAAGAAGGGUCAAAUUUUCUCAAAUAACUUAUUCAAAGAGAGACAGAACCUGUGAAAAGGAAGAAUACAGCUGACAUUAAAUGGGUUUGAAGCCACACUGACAAUGACCUGAAAAAACUUGGUGCCUACCAAGAACCAUAAGUAAAGUGAAGGACACAGUGCUGACAGCUGGAGCUACCAAAAAUUAUAAAACUUGGCCAAAACCCACUUCUGUCCUGGGUACAGAAACUUUGGACAUUAACUGCAGUAAGAAACUCAGUGUCACUUUGUGCUGGCCUCCUGAACAGGGUAAAAUUUACCAGU